CAAUAGCGUAUAUUAAAGUUGUUGCAGUUAAAAAGCUCGUAGUUGAAUUUCAGGCCGUCCCGCGCGGUCCGCCGAAUGGCGCGACCUCGUCGGCCGGCCUCAUCGCCGCAAGGCGACGUUUACUGUGAGAAAAUUAGAGUGUUCAAAGCAGGCUUACGCUUGAAUACUUCAGCAUGGAAUAAUAGAAUAGGACUUUGGUUCUAUUUUGUUGGUUUCUAGGACCGAAGUAAUGAUUAAUAGGGAUAGUUGGGGGCAUUAGUAUUUAAUUGUCAGAGGUGAAAUUCUUGGAUUUAUGAAAGACUAACUUCUGCGAAANCANNNGCCAAGGAUGUUUUCAUNAA
rnacentral:rRNA from 1 species